AUUGAACGCUGGCGGCAGGCCUAACACAUGCAAGUCGAGCGGUAGCACAGGGAGCUUGCUCCUGGGUGACGAGCGGCGGACGGGUGAGUAAUGUCUGGGAAACUGCCUGAUGGAGGGGGAUAACUACUGGAAACGGUAGCUAAUACCGCAUAACGUCUACGGACCAAAGUGGGGGACCUUCGGGCCUCAUGCCAUCAGAUGUGCCCAGAUGGGAUUAGCUAGUAGGUGGGGUAAUGGCUCACCUAGGCGACGAUCCCUAGCUGGUCUGAGAGGAUGACCAGCCACACUGGAACUGAGACACGGUCCAGACUCCUACGGGAGGCAGCAGUGGGGAAUAUUGCACAAUGGGCGCAAGCCUGAUGCAGCCAUGCCGCGUGUGUGAAGAAGGCCUUCGGGUUGUAAAGCACUUUCAGCGAGGAGGAAGGGUAGUGUGUUAAUAGCACAUUGCAUUGACGUUACUCGCAGAAGAAGCACCGGCUAACUCCGUGCCAGCAGCCGCGGUAAUACGGGGGGUGCAAGCGUUAAUCGGAAUUACUGGGCGUAAAGCGCACGCAGGCGGUUUGUUAAGUCAGAUGUGAAAUCCCCGCGCUUAACGUGGGAACUGCAUUUGAAACUGGCAAGCUAGAGUCUUGUAGAGGGGGGUAGAAUUCCAGGUGUAGCGGUGAAAUGCGUAGAGAUCUGGAGGAAUACCGGUGGCGAAGGCGGCCCCCUGGACAAAGACUGACGCUCAGGUGCGAAAGCGUGGGGAGCAAACAGG
rnacentral:rRNA from 1 species